rnacentral:lncRNA from 1 species
AGAAAAUUAAUCCAUAAAGCUAAUAGAAUUUUUAUACCUUCCUUUGGACACAACAGGCCGUCGCCCCCAAACAUCCAGGUGAACUAACUAUAAAGUAGACUCGUCUCGUUUAUUAGCCCUCGGAUGUAACAUACUGCAAUGGAUUUUAUGUUGAUGGAGGAUUUCGAAGAAUCUAACAAGUUCAAGAUCAUAUUGGUGCUAAUAACAAUGUUAAGAAAUUUUGAUUAACAAUAAAACAUGGUAAGAAAUCACCCGGUUGAUGAAUGAAAACUCUAGGUUGUUUGCCCCUCCAUAGCUCUCAGAAUGC